GCAACAUCAUUGAGUGGCUUCAUUCUCUAGCUUGGAGAGAACCCUGAGGAAUUUAUCAAGGUCUACCAGGAAACUGUCCGUCGUCCUGUCACCUCUGAGCCUAAUGGCAGGCGCUGCAGUCGCUGCAAGUCCGGAUUUGUACUGCCUGUAAGACGUACUAUGAUGUACUAAGACGUACUAUGAGCCAGUAUGAAGGAACUUCCAGCCCAUCCAACCAGACCUUGCAGCUCUUGCAGCAGCAUUGAAAAGUUCAGUCGACAGAGAAGAAAGAGGCUGAUUGAAGCAGGGAAGAUGACAUGGAACCAUCUUUCCACAGCCAGGAGCUGUGUGCCAUACUUCAAAUAAGACUGGAAGCUACACUGAAUCUCACAGCUACACACCACAGAUGUCUUAACACUGGGGCAGAUUCGGACAGAGUGCCACAAAGAACUUUUCACCCAGAGGCGGCAAAUAGUCAUUUCAAGCUUCACCUAAUUCGUUUUUCACUGGCUAGGCCAGGUUGUGUUUGUACUAUAUUUGUGCUGUAUGUAAAUAAAGCUUUGACUCAACA